AUGGAGACAAACAUGUCCAGUCUGGGUUCAGAGCCAGAGGGAGACCUGCAGUGUCAGCUGCAGUCCUUUGAGAGAUUGCACAAGGUCCUAGAAGACACAAGGCCUCAGGUGUGGGAGGUCCAAGACCGAACCAGGAUCCUACAGCAAAAGGGUUGUUACCCUGAGUGGCCUGGCCAGACUGUCUCCAAAUCACAACUGUUGUUACACUGCAUGGAGCUUCAUAAUCAAAUACAGCAGAAGAUACAGUCUACACAGAAGAUCAGAAAGAAUUAUGACAGGUUCCAGCGUGACUCAACAGAACUAGAAGAAUGGAUACGUCAUGCUCAAGAACAGGUUCUGAAGUGGAACAAUUUCUCUGAUUCUGGUCUCUUGGACUCCAGAACAGUCUUUACCCAGCUCAUGGAGUUCUUCAAGGAGCUGGAGUGCCGUUCAGCACAGAAAGCUUCUGCAGAACGUUCAGGUGCACAGAUACUGCAGCUGACUGACGGUGAAGCUCCAGGUCUGCGCAGACGACUGGCUCAACUUGAGCAGGAAUGGACGAACUUGAGUAACGUCCUGCCCACUCUCCACCAGACACAGCAACAAGUACGACUAAUGUCUCUCUCUAAGUUUCUUUCUGUUUUUCUCUCUCCCUCUGUCUCCUUCAUCCAUCUGAAGAAAAGCUCUGUCAAACUGAUAGUGUUUAAGUAAGCA
ensembl:lncRNA